rnacentral:rRNA from 1 species
GAUCUUUGAUCCUGGCUCAGGACGAACGCUUGCGGCGUGCCUAAGAAAUGCAAGUCGAGCGAGAACCAACCUUCGGGUGAAGUUCUAGCGGCGAACGGUCGCGUAACACGUAAGCAACCUGCCCUAAAGUUGGGGAUAGCCCUCCGAAAGGAGGAUUAAUACCGAAUGUGGACAUAUUUUCGCAUGUUUAUAUGUCUAAAGCAGCGAUGCGCUUUAGGAUGGGCUUGCGGCCUAUCAGCUAGUUGGUGUGGGUAACGGCCUACCAAGGCGACGACGGGUAGCUGGUCUGAGAGGAUGGUCAGCCGGAUUGGGACUGAGACACGGCCCAGACUCCUACGGGGGGCAGCAAUUAGGAAUCUUGCGCAAUGGGCGAAAGCCUGACGCAGCGACGCCGCGUGACUGAUGAAGUCUUUCGGGAUGUAAAGGUCUUUUGCAGGGGACGAAGGAAGUGACGGUACCCUGCGAAUAAGCCCCGGCUAACUACGUGCCAGCAGCCGCGGUAAUACGUAGGGGGCGAGCGUUGUCCGAAUUCACUGGGCGUAAAGCGCGCGUAGGCGGGUUUUUAAGUUGUGGGUGAAAUUCCGAGGCUCAACCUCGUAACUGCCUGCAAAACUGGGAGCCUUGAGGUAUGGAGAGGGAAGUGGAAUUCCUGGUGUAGCGGUGAAAUGCGUAGAUAUCAGGAGGAACACCCGUGGCGAAGGCGGCUUCCUGGCCAUAUCCUGACGCUGAGGUGCGAAAGCUAGGGUAGCGAACGGGAUUAGAUACCCCGGUAGUCCUAGCCGUAAACGAUGGAUACUAGGUGUUAGAGGUAUCGACCCCUCUAGUGCCGCAGCUAACGCAUUAAGUAUCCCGCCUGGGGAGUACGACCGCAAGGUUGAAACUCAAAGGAAUUGACGGGGGCCCGCACAAGCGGUGGAGCAUGUGGUUUAA